GAUGAACGCUAGCGGCAGGCCUAAUACAUGCAAGUCGAACGGGAUCUGAGGGUAGCUUGCUACCCGAUUUGAGAGUGGCGCACGGGUGCGUAACGCGUGAGCAACCUACCCAUAUCAGGGGGAUAGCCCGAAGAAAUUCGGAUUAACACCGCAUAAUAAUACGCUAACACAUGUUAAUGUAUUAAAUAUUUAUAGGAUAUGGAAGGGCUCGCGCGACAUUAGCUAGUUGGUAAGGUAACGGCUUACCAAGGCGACGAUGUCUAGGGGCUCUGAGAGGAGAAUCCCCCACACUGGUACUGAGACACGGACCAGACUCCUACGGGAGGCAGCAGUAAGGAAUAUUGGUCAAUGGGCGCGAGCCUGAACCAGCCAUGCCGCGUGCAGGAUGACUGCCCUAUGGGUUGUAAACUGCUUUUGUUAGGGAAUAAACCUACUUAUGUAUAAGUAGCUGAAUGUACCUAAAGAAUAAGGAUCGGCUAACUCCGUGCCAGCCGCCGCAGUAA
rnacentral:rRNA from 1 species